GCGCCAUUAGCUCAAUGGAUAGAGUCGCAGACUUCGAAUCUGUCGGUUGGGGGUUCGAGUCCCUCAUGGCGUGCCA
rnacentral:tRNA from 2 species